AUACACACACACACACACACACACACACACACACAUAUAUACAUAAUAUACACAUUUCAUAUGCACUUUUGCAAACCAAAAUUUGCAGGUGUGUGUGUGUGUGUGUGUGUGUGUGUGUGUGUGUGU
rnacentral:miRNA from 1 species